GAUGAACGCUAGCGGCAGGCCUAACACAUGCAAGUCGAGGGGUAGAGUUCUUCGGGACUUGAGACCGGCGCACGGGUGCGUAACGCGUAUGCAAUCUACCUUAUACAGGGGAAUAGCCCAGAGAAAUUUGGAUUAAUGCCCCAUAGUGUUAUCGAAUCGCAUGGUUUGAUAACUAAAGUUCCAACGCUAUAAGAUGAGCAUGCGUCCAUUAGUUAGUUGGUAAGGUAACGGCUUACCAAGACAAUGAUGGGUAGGGGUCCUGAGAGGGAGAUCCCCACACUGGUACUGAGACACGGACCAGACUCCUACGGGAGGCAGCAGUGA
rnacentral:rRNA from 1 species